rnacentral:rRNA from 1 species
UACAGAGGUUUCAAGCGUUGUUCGGAUUCAUUGGGCGUAAAGGGUGUGUAGGCGGCUUGGCAAGUCGGGUGUGAAAUCUUGGAGCUUAACUCCGAAACUGCAUUCGAUACUGCCGUGCUUGAGGACUGGAGAGGAAGCUGGAAUUUACGGUGUAGCGGUGAAAUGCGUAGAUAUCGUAAGGAAGACCAGUGGCGAAGGCGGGUCUCUGGACAGUUCCUGACACUGAGGCACGAAGGCCAGGGGAGCAAACGGG